AUUGAACGCUGGCGGCAGGCUUAACACAUGCAAGUCGAACGAGUGGCGGACGGGAGAGUAAUGCUUGGGAAUCUAGCUUAUGGAGGGGGAUAACUACGGGAAACUGUAGCUAAUACCGCGUACCAUAGGAUGAGCCCAAAUGGGAUGAGGUAGUUGGUGAGGGAAAGGCUAACCAAGCCGAAGAUCUCUAGCUGGUCUGAGAGGAUGACCAGCCACACGGGGAUUGAGACCCGGCCGAGACUCCUCGGGGAGGCAGCAGUGGGAAAUAUUGCGCAAUGGGGGCAACCUGACGCAGCCAGGCCGCGUGAAUGAAGAAGGCCUUCGGGUUGUAAAGUUCUUUCGGUAGCGAGGCGUUAACUACAGAAGAAGCACCGGCUAACUCCGUGCCAGCAGCCGCGGUAAUUC
rnacentral:rRNA from 1 species